rnacentral:lncRNA from 1 species
ACUCUGGGCCAGGCCUUAUCCUAGACCUCAGACAGUCAAAGAUGUAUAAGACACGGUUCCUUCCUUUAAGAAACACAUCGUCUGCUGGACAGCGUGUGUUGGUCAACACCUGCACCACUACAUCUAUUGACACUCUCGCUGUGUAAAUAAACUAGCCUCAGGCACAGGGUGACAGGUUUUACAUGCAGCCAUUAAUGGGUUAUAUGACAGUAAGAUUAAAAAUUGCACUGGAUUUAGUGUUUUUUUCUUUCUGUGAAAAUACUGGAUAGAUUACUUGCAGAAACAAUUGGCCAGUUCAAUCAACCAUGGUUGUUUUUUUUUCUUCUUCUUCUUCUUCUCGGAAUUCAACAUUUUUGGGCUGCCCUGAGCAAACAGACGUGAUGUAUGCAGCCACACCUUGGCACUACCUAUGGCAGGCCUCCAGUAUGAGUAUGAUGUUCCAACCUCAGCAGCAUAAGAGAGACCACAUCAUGAAGGGAGUCACGACUUGGCACAAGAGCCACCCAAGGUCAUGGGACAGAAAUGAGAAAAACUGGUAUCUCUGGAGAUGCAGCUGAGAAGGCAAAAUCAGGGCAUCAGUGACCUUUCUUUCCAAUCUAGCCUCUUCCCACAAAGCAAAUAGCAAGUCUUGUGUGUUGUUUAUGGCCACUCCCUGUUCCCCUGCUGGCCGUUUAACUCAAACUCACUCCCAUAUGGGCUAUUCCCUUUCCAGUUCAGAAAACCGACAGGAAUGUGGAAGUCCUCAGUGGUCCAGAGGUCAUCACUGAGGAAUUGUGUGUCUGACCUGUUGCUCCUCGCUCCUUUGUGCUCACUUUGUUCUCGGUCACAUCGCAGUUUGCAGGGACUGUCACCUACCCUGAUUCAUACCUGGGUUGGCUGCGUGUCUGGACCCCUGGCCUAGUCCUUUUAUCCUGAGGUUAAAUCUACUUCUGAUAUUUCCAAAAUCUGUUAAGGCAAGCUCCAUUGUUGUAUGGCCCAGAUGUGCACCUGAGACCCCUACUCCCUCCACCUCUGCCGGAUGGACCAGAUCUCUUUAAAUUUAACCCAGAUUACAAUAAAGUUUACUUAAACCCUAAAUUGGGAGCAUUCCUGCAGGGCACAAAAUCUUCUGUGCUGGUAAAUUUUCUCUAGCCAAAUGCCUAGUUUUAUUUCCUC